CUUUUUGUGCUCAUCUUUUGGCUUUUUUUUGUCAUUUUACUGUUGAUUUAUUGAUUUGUACUUUAUUUUUGUUGCUUUAUUUGUAUUUAAUUUGUUGUUUAUUCAAUUUAAUGUUGUUCACUUUCUAUUCCCUGUCUACCUUUUACUUGCUUUAUCAUUUUAAAGUCAACACUUGAUGUUGUGUUGAUAAUGGUUACUUUUUUGCUACCUCACGAUUUGACUUGAAGUGAGAGAAAGACUGAGAAUAUUUUGGUGCUAAUGUUUGACAACAUUGAAAACCUUGGACCUGGUAACAAGCUACAUGUUACCUUUACCUUUUUUUUCACAUUAAGGUGAUUAAUGAGAAUGACGUUGACUCUCUCCUUCUCUCUAUCCAUCUUUUCUCACUAUUUUUUACUUUAACGAUGUUCUCGUGUCUUUUAUCCUGUUUAUCUUCUUCCCCAUGUUCAUCUUUUAGCUGUUACUAUCACUUUUGGCUUUCUUCUUGUUCUUAAAUUUUACUCUUAAAGCGGAUAAAUGUUGAUUCUACUCUUGUACACUUUCUCCUGGUUUUUAUCCCUUUCUAAAUUGAUAAUGUAUCUCGUGUGUGUCCCAACCCUGUGUUUAUAUUAAUUAAUCUCUACUUUAUCUCAUGGAUUGAGACUGGCAAACCAGGGUCAAUUGCAUCUCUCUUGCUCCAUCCUCAUUGUCAAUUGUGGUUAAUAAGGCAAACAACGAGAAGACUACAUGAACACCAAGGGACAGAGAUUUACAUGGAAAUCUUGCAAAAAGAUUACCUUAAGGGCUUUUAAUUUAACCAAGUGAAAUCAAGUCUCGAAUUUAGUCUCAAGCCAAAAACAGAAACUCAUAGGGAGCAAUGGUGAAAAACAGAGAAGAGCUCAAGUACAAGAAAAGACCCAGACCAAAAGAGUCCAGCAAAAGAGAGAGAGAAGGUUACUGUGAAAUAAUUUUUCAUGCCUCUAGCCUCGCCUUGUCUUGUGGUCACCGUGGUUUAUCAUCAUCAUGAUCUUCAUGAUCAUCAUGAUCUUACUCAUCAUCAUUAUUAUAUCAGAAAUGCCAGCCCAAAGAGAUUGUUCAUCUUCUUGUUCUAGGCCAAGCACCUCUCAUCAUCAUCAUGUUUCGUGUCCUUGGGUUGAUUGGAUUCGCUAGUAAAAAAAAGAGGAAAGCUAAACAGACAUUAUAACAACAAAGUCUUACCUGGCUUUGUAGUUAAUUUGGCUUUUUGUCUUAACAAACACAGUAAAAGCCCACAGGGGUUGAUGUCGUUCCUUCAAGACACAAGAGAGUGAGCUUUAAAGGUCCCCAUCCCCAUGUCUUUAUUUCAAGUCAGCCAAUAUUACUGAUCCGCCCAGCAAUAACAACCUGACAUUCUUUGCUUCCAAGCUUCAGACAGUGAAAAGAAGAAGAAAAAUACAUCAGCAUUAAAGUGAUGGGGAGGAAAAGCAAAAAGCAAAAAGGAAAGAAUGGAAAAGCCUAGUUGCAUAAGCUGCAUUUCUUGUAAUAUGAUGUUAAAACCAUUUUAGUGAUGACCUAAAAUAAGUGGUUCCUCUGCCGGUUACCGCAGUUUUUAUCCUGUAAAAGUUAGUAAAUCCUGAACAGUAAAAGCGAGAAGCAAAAAGAUGAAAGUGAAAAACCAAGUUUGACCAGCAAGGAUGUUGGUGAUGCAUAAAAUGAAACCGACAUCACUUUCUUGUUGCCUUUUUUGUUCCAUCUCAUCAUCACAUUCAACAUCUUCUGUCUACUUUCACCAUCUUUUCUCUCUUUUCCCUUUCCUUUUUUUCUUUCUUGAUUAUCAUGAUCAUUGAUGCUUGAUGUAUUAUCACCCCAAAGGGUUCUCUCAUCUUCCUUUUUUUUAACAUCCAUCUCGCGAUACGCUUCAAGUCUAUUGCAAUAGACUUGGGUGCAACCUCCUCAUCACCCUUUGUUUCCCUUUUGAUAGCCUCUUGUUCACUUUUUCAUUUAUCCUUUCCCUUGCUCUUUCUUUCUCUCUUUCUCUCUCUUUUCCUGAUACCAUUCCUCAAGGGGAAUGAAGGGCAACAAAUAAGCAACACCACCACCAUCAACCCUUAUGAUGACCAACUAUUUAUAAACUGACCGCGGUCAUUGCCGUCAAUGGAAUCAAAACCUCGAGUGUGUCUCUUGAAAUAGCUCCCAAAGGCUAUCCUUUAUCCUUUUUAUAUUUAAACACAACUCUAUCCUUUGUUGUUUAUUAUCAUUAUUAUAUUGUUGAUGUUUUUCCUUGAUUGUUCAUCUUGUAGCCUCUCCAACUUCAUCCAUUUUGUAGAUUAUUGUUUUCUUUCAUUUACUCAGUCACAAAAUAUUCACCUCACUAACAUCCUCAUCAGCCUGCAUCGUCAAUGAGAUCAACAAAAUGAUUUUCACUCUUUUAUGGGCAACAAUUGAACCAAUAUCAAUGAGACAUUGGCAUCAACAUAUUACUUCUCAUUCACAUUGACAGUCAAUGAAGACAAGUCAAUGUCUGAUGAUGUUUAUUACAGUACAUUAACUGUAUCCCAAUUGAUCACUAAUUUAUCAACAGUAGGUAUGAAUAGUAAAAAAAAGCUGACAAAAUGAAAAAUUACCAAAUGAUUUAGAGAUGAUGAUCAUGAAAAGCCAGCCAUUUACUAAUUCAAUUUUACGUGCAAAAAAAGCAAGAUGUUUAGGAAGGUUGAUUAUGAGAAAAGCGCGAUUGGCCACAAUCAAUUGUUGAAGCAAAUUAUCAACGUUUGAAUUACAAUUGUUUUUCGCUUUGUUUGUCCAUCAAAUUAUCAUUUGUUUGUUUGCAUGUUGCUUGAUAUAACUUUUUGUUUUCUCACCAGCAACACAAACAAACCAAAUGAAGGUUCAUCUGCGGCUUACGCCAUUUUUACGCCAAUCAUUUUGACUCAAUAACUUUGUAAUUGAUGUUGUUAACUUUGCUUUUUUUUGCAGCCUAAAGAUUGAUAAUAACAAAAGAGACACCUCUAAUUAUAAGAGUAAAGAGGAGGAAGAUGAUAAUGAUGAUGGUGAAGAAGGAGGAAACUAAAAAUGAAAAACAAGGAUGAUCCAUUGUAAAUAUACACUUUGCCAAUUAAUAGUUAUAAUUGUGAUUACAACCUCAGUGGGCUGAAUAGUGUCAAUUGAGCAAAGUGUUUGCAUGUUAAUGGGUGAAUGUGGAUGAACAAAAUGAGUCGACAAUGAAGUAAAUGGAUUUCAAUUUUCAAGACAAAACUAAAUGAGACCGAUCAUUGAUUAUGA